rnacentral:tRNA from 1 species
AAGCUAUUAAUUUCAAAUUUGAAUUU